UUGAAUAACUUGGUGUUGAGCUGGCUCUAUUGGGGCAUGUGCUCGCAUCAUAUUAUUUAUCUAUCUCUUGUGCACCUUUUGUAGUCUUUGAAGCGUUUUCGCAGUCAAUGCGAGUUUUGGGACUUGGGCUUUGCCGCCCUUUUCCCUGUUUGCUUCAAAGGCUAUGUUUUUAUACACACUAUUUAAAGUUACAGAAUGUCUCUUAUUGACUUUCGGGUCAGUAAAUCUAUA
rnacentral:misc_RNA from 1 species